GAUGAAGAACGUAGCGAAAUGCGAUAAGUAGUGUGAAUUGCAGAAUUCAGUGAAUCAUCGAAUCUUUGAACGCACAUUGCGCCCCCUGGCAUUCCGGGGGGCAUGCCUGUCCGAGCGUCAUUUCUGCCCUCCAGCCCGGCUGGGUGUUGGGCGCUGUCCCCCCGGGGACACGCCCCAAAGGCAGUGGCGGCGCCGCGUUGGGUCCUCGAGCGUAUGGGGCUUUGUCACCCGCUCGGGACGGACUCGUCGGCGCUGGUCUUCCUCCAGGCGACCCUUCGGGGCUCGUCUUCCUUCGGUUGACCUCGGAUCAGGUAGGGUUACCCGCUGAACUUAAGCAUAUCAAUAAGCGGAGGA
rnacentral:misc_RNA from 1 species